rnacentral:tRNA from 1 species
AGAGGGUUCGCAUAGCGGUUUAGUGCACUACCUUGGAAAGGUAGCAAGGUGAAAGCCUUCACGGGUUCGAAUCCCGUACCCUCUG